rnacentral:rRNA from 1 species
AACGAACGCUGGCGGCAGGCUUAACACAUGCAAGUCGAACGCCCCGCAAGGGGAGUGGCAGACGGGUGAGUAACGCGUGGGAACAUACCCUUUUCUACGGAAUAGCUCUGGGAAACUGGAAUUAAUACCGUAUACGCCCUACGGGGGAAAGAUUUAUCGGGGAAGGAUUGGCCCGCGUUGGAUUAGCUAGUUGGUGGGGUCAAGGCCUACCAAGGCGACGAUCCAUAGCUGGUCUGAGAGGAUGAUCAGCCACAUUGGGACUGAGACACGGCCCAAACUCCUACGGGAGGCAGCAGUGGGGAAUAUUGGACAAUGGGCGCAAGCCUGAUCCAGCCAUGCCGCGUGAGUGAUGAAGGCCUUAGGGUUGUAAAGCUCUUUCACCGAUGAAGAUAAUGACGGUAGUCGGAGAAGAAGCCCCGGCUAACUUCGUG